CAAAAUCUCAAAUUUUCACCUGAACUUUGUGUUUCCAAAUUCUUUUGGCCUAUGCCUAAGUUCCCUCCUUUUAAGGGAUUUGAUCAUCCUUUCCCUUUACCUCCACCUUUGGAGCUUCCACCGUUUCCUAAACCAUGCCCACCACCUCCGGUUCCGGUGUACGAGCCACCCCCAAAGGUGGAACUUCCACCACCUGUCCCGGUUCACGAGCCACCCCCAAAGGUAGAGGUUCCACCACCCGUCCCGGUUCACGACCCACCGCCAAAGGUGGAGCACCCACCUCCGGUUCCGGUUUACAAGCCACCUCCAAAGGUAGAGCACCCACCUCCAGUUCCGGUUUACAAGCCGCCUCCAAAGGUAGAGCACCCACCUCCGGUUCCGGUUUACAAGCCACCUCCAAAGGUAGAGCACCCACCUCCGGUUCCAGUACACAAGCCACCAACAAUCCCUAAGAAGCCAUGCCCGCCUAAGUCGCCGAAGAUUGAGCUUCCACCGCCAGUGCCAGUUCACAAACCACCGACUAAGAAGCCUUGUCCGCCCAUGCCACCAAAGAAAGUUGAUCCGCCACCGGUUCCAGUCCACAAGCCGCCGCCGAAAAUAGUCCUUCCACCGCCGGUACCAAUCCACAAGCCGCCAAAGAAGCCGUGCCCGCCUAAACCGCCAAAGGUCGAGCUUCCACCACCAGUACCGGUCUACAAGCCACCACCGAAGAUAGAGCAUCCACCAAUCUAUGUGCCACCGGUGAUCCCGAAGAAGCCGUGCCCUCCCAAAGCGCCGAAGAUCGAUCCACCACCGGUUCCUGUCUACAAGCCGCCACCGAAGAUAGAGCAUCCACCAAUCUACGUGCCACCAGUGAUCCCAAAGAAGCCGUGUCCUCCGCCGGUGCCAAUCUACGUGCCACCGGUGGUGAUCCCGAAGAAGCCAUGUCCACCACUUCCACCACUUCCAAAGUUUCCUCCUCUUCCUCCUAAAUACAUUCACCACCCCAAGUUCGGCAAAUGGCCUCCGUUGCCGACUCACCCUUGAGAGUUUAAUACAUAUACUUGUAUGUAAUCAACGUGUUGCUUUUUAAAUAUUUUU
rnacentral:lncRNA from 1 species